rnacentral:lncRNA from 1 species
GCCUGCACCUGACCCCUGGAUAUGAUUCAUAGGGUUUCUGUCUGCUGCGGAGCCGGAGAAAGCAGCCAGCAAAGAUAUAUUAGCUCCUAUGUGGUGUUUUCACGCCCCACUGAUGUGCCAUAAAAACUCCCAGCUAAGGACCUCCUAUUACGAAUGCACCCGCUGUGUGUGAAGGAGGUGACUGAUGUUAAACUCACAUGCCAGAGAGAACUGGCCUAUGAGGAAACAGGAAGAAAGUACUCUCUCUCACACACUUUUUUUUUUUUGAGACAGAGUCUCGCUGUGUUGCCCAGCUGGAGUGCAGAGGCACGAUCUCGGCUCACUGCAACCUCUACCUCCCAAGUUCAAGUGAUUCUCAUGCCUCAGCCUACCGAGUAGCUGGGAUGACAGGUGUCUGUCACCACGCCCAGCUAAUUUUUGUAUUUUCAGUAGAGACGGGGUUUUGCCAUGUUGGCCAGGCUGGUCUCGAACUCCCAACCUCAAGUGCACUGCCCACCUCAGCCUCCCAAUGUGCUGGGAUUACAGGUGUGAGUUACUGCAUGCAGCCAGAAGAAAGUAUUCUCCAUAUCACUGCAUUCACCUACUGGAGACUUCUUUCCUCAGGAAGCCAAGACCCAGAAGCAAAAUGACUGGAAAUCAAAGAUGGACAUUAAGAGCACAUUCAUCUUCUUCAUCAGCUGCUGACAACUAUUACUCAGGCAAGAUCCAAGAACACUCUUGGGGUCUGGAACAAGACCCCCUUUCUGGCGUCAGGACUGGGCACCAGAUCUGGAAGAAGCAGGACUCAGGCCGGGUGCGUUGGCUCAUGCCUGUAAUCCCAACACUUUGGGAGGCCAAGGCGGGCGGAUCACCUGAGGUCAGGAGUUCAAGACCAGCCCAGCCAACAUGGCGAAACCCCGUCUCUACUAAAAAUAUAAAAAUUAGUCGCCGGCCGGGCGCGGUGGCUCACGCCUGUAAUCCCAGCACUUUGGGAGGCCGAGGCGGG